rnacentral:rRNA from 1 species
UACGUAGGGUGCGAGCGUUGUCCGGAAUUAUUGGGCGUAAGGAGCUCGUAGGCGGUGUGUCACGUCGGCCGUGAAAACCUGCAGCUUAACUGUGGGCGUGCGGUCGAUACGGGCAUCACUGGAGUUCGGCAGGGGAGACUGGAAUUCCUGGUGUAGCGGUGAAAUGCGCAGAUAUCAGGAGGAACACCGGUGGCGAAGGCGGGUCUCUGGGCCGAUACUGACGCUGAGGAGCGAAAGCGUGGGGAGCAAACCGG